AUUGAACGCUGGCGGCAGGCCUAACACAUGCAAGUCGAGCGGAUGAAGGGAGCUUGCUCCUGGAUUCAGCGGCGGACGGGUGAGUAAUGCCUAGGAAUCUGCCUGGUAGUGGGGGAUAACGUCCGGAAACGGGCGCUAAUACCGCAUACGUCCUGAGGGAGAAAGUGGGGGAUCUUCGGACCUCACGCUAUCAGAUGAGCCUAGGUCGGAUUAGCUAGUUGGUGGGGUAAAGGCCUACCAAGGCGACGAUCCGUAACUGGUCUGAGAGGAUGAUCAGUCACACUGGAACUGAGACACGGUCCAGACUCCUACGGGAGGCAGCAGUGGGGAAUAUUGGACAAUGGGCGAAAGCCUGAUCCAGCCAUGCUGCGUGUGUGAAGAAGGUCUUCGGACUGUAAAGCACUUUAAGUUGGGAGGAAGGGCAGUAAGUUAAUACCUUGCUGUUUUGACGUUACCAACAGAAUAAGCACCGGCUAACUUCGUG
rnacentral:rRNA from 1 species